rnacentral:lncRNA from 1 species
CUCAUCUGAAAUCAAAACUAGGCCUUCUCUGACACCUACUCCAAAAGGGAAUAUUUCUCUUGCUGAUUCUCCAGGAAUCUGCUCAAGGCUAUAAGGCGCAAAAGUUGUAGAGCCAAAUUGGAAGAGAGUCCCUUCUUGUGGGGAUCUAAUAACAUGCAGUUUGAGUGGAUCCAGGGAUGCCCAAUUAGUGUGCUAAAUCCUCCUGGCCACCAGGAUUGGUUCAAGAAUGUCCCAAAAACAGCCAGCUGGAAGCCUCCCCAGAACUUUUGCUAAAACUAUUAGAAAAAAGAAUCUCUUUUUGCUGGAUCCCCUAGGUGUAGGGAUGAGGCCCAGGGCUGCAGACAGCCAUCUUUGCUACAACAUGAGGAAAGCCUGGUGAGAAUGAAGCUAACACAAAGGAAAACAAAGGAAGAAGAUGGAGGAAAAGAGAGAUUCUCAAUGCUUCUCUGAACUUCUGGAUCUACCCAGGUUCACCCACACAGCUUCCAGAUUACAUUAACUCCAACUACCUUUUUUGUUUUAGCUGGAUUUCUGCAAUUUGUCAAUCAACACAGUACUGACUAAUACAAGUUAUGAUCAUGGUCUGCUUUACAUCAUAACUAAUGGUGCUCAGGGAAGAAGGAAAAGGAGCACACCUGGCAGAUCGGUAUAACUGCACAACCGGGAUCCAUCAAAGUCAGUCACCCCAGGGAAUUUCCCAAGACGACUGGAUUCUGUGGACAUCUUCUGUAACUGUCAAAAGCUGCACAUAAUAGACAGAAAGAAAAAAUGCUAAGAAAAUGUCGUGCCAAU